rnacentral:rRNA from 1 species
UGGGGAAUAUUGCGCAAUGGGCGAAAGCCUGACGCAGCGACGCCGCGUGAGGGAUGAAGGUCUUCGGAUCGUAAACCUCUGUCAGAAGGGAAGAACGUACUGUGUGCUAAUCAGCGCAGUAGUGACGGUACCUUCAAAGGAAGCACCGGCUAACUCCGUGCCAGCAGCCGCGGUAAUACGGAGGGUGCAAGCGUUAAUCGGAAUCACUGGGCGUAAAGCGCACGUAGGCUGUCGUGUAAGUCAGGGGUGAAAGCCCACGGCUCAACCGUGGAAUUGCCCUUGAUACUGCAUGACUGGAAUCCGGGAGAGGGUGGCGGAAUUCCAGGUGUAGGAGUGAAAUCCGUAGAUAUCUGGAGGAACAUCAGUGGCGAAGGCGGCCACCUGGACCGGUAUUGACGCUGAGGUGCGAAAGCGUGGGGAGCAAACAGG